AAUAAACAUUGGAUAACAGAAAAUGUACAUUAGAUGACACCAAGGAAAAGUCCAGAUAAUCGACAAAACAUUUCAUAAGGUCCUAACAAAGGACCAGCAGCUUACUACAUGCAAUGCGUACUAAUUUCAUAUAUGGCAUGCAUUCAUCAAAAUGGGCAUUUGGGGAAAAAACAGAGCAUUGCAAAUUUAGGUAAUACUGUGCUAGCACUCUCAAAAACAGUGGUCGGAAAGUAAUAACACCAAUAACAGUCACAUGCAUCAGCUUUUUUCUAACCUCUCAAGCACCAUC